rnacentral:lncRNA from 1 species
CAGUUUUGAAAAUAAAUAAAUCAGCAGCUUCUCCCUCAAAGCCUGUCCAAGGAAGGGGGCGUGACCCUUGUCCUUGGGAAAAAACUACAGAGCACUCCUAGGCACAUACCCCCCUGCUGAGUUGUUUGUAAAUAACAGGAGAGAUCUGCGGCCAGGUGUCCCUGACUCAGUCAGCCUAGGUGAGGACCCAUAGCAACCCCCUAGCAACCUCCAAUCAGCAUGAGACAGGGAAAUACCCAGGAUGCCAGAUGACCCCCCAGUAGUUUAUGGUGGUUGAUAACAUGUUAGGAAACCAUGUAGUUCAGCACGUACACCCCUCGUGGUCUAAACCAAUCAGAUCAAAGGAAUCCCCCUCUUGUACUAACCAGUCACCCCUACCCAACUUGUUCCCGCCAGUGAAUGUGCUAAUCAAUGUUAAGAGCUGUUGUUUGACUUUCCCGAGGUAUGGAAUGAUUUGCUGUGUGAUGUUGUGAUGCAGAGUAUCCCCCAAAUCCUAUAAAAUCUCACUGGACAAAGGACCAGGAUUCAUUCCCUGGGACCGCUGCGUCGGGAACGGUUGUGAGUCCAGGCUCGAGCUUGCAGUAAAGACUCUUGUGAUUGCAUCGGAUUCGGCUCCUGGAGGUCUUUUGGGGUCCCACGAAUCUGGCAUUACAGGUCAGGGGUUAAAUGUGACAAGGCCAUGUCCAGGCCGGAGCACCCAUCGGGACUGGUGAGCUUGUGCCUGGGGACAAGCACUUGGAAGUGCACGGGGAUCCCUCCUCCAGCCGGACUCCCCGGAGCAGAGUGCUUCACCAAGACCUCUGAGACGCCCCAGGGGACUGCUCGGUGUCCCCGUGGAAGCCACACCUCCCUUGACCUGUGGGCUCCUCAGCAAGCCGUCUCCAUCACACCCGCCCAGCCUGUGGGUCUCCCAUCUUUCCAGGGCCUCGCUGUAAAUCUGACUGAGCCAGUGACACUGAAGCCACGGCCCCAAAGUCCCAUCACUUCAAAAUCUCCUCUCACCAGAGCCUGUCGGUCCUUCUUGGCUGCAGCCUCCCCCACGGUCCCGGUCACGGCCCAAGGUGUCUGAGUUUUGCCUCAGCCUAACGAAGGAGACCUUUAGCCCCGUUCCCAGUGGAACCCAGGUCUCCGCGGGAAAGUCCCUCUGCACAGCGUCCCACUCCUGUCAGCUUCCUGUCACAACCCACGCCAGCCUCCAGGACACCGGUGCUCUGUUUGUCUCUCUGUCCUUGAGUCCCCACCAGAUCUGCCAUAGGGCCCCACCUCCCCUCCGAGCCUCUCCCCCCCUCCCUCUGCUGCCCAGCUCCUAAGCCGCCUCCCC